rnacentral:rRNA from 1 species
CGAACGCUGGCGGCGUGCUUAACACAUGCAAGUCGAACGGAAAGGCCCUGCUUUUGUGGGGUGCUCGAGUGGCGAACGGGUGAGUAACACGUGAGUAACCUGCCCUUGACUUUGGGAUAACUUCAGGAGACUGGGGCUAAUACCGGAUAGGAGCUCCUGCUGCAUGGUGGGGGUUGGAAAGUUUCGGCGGUUGGGGAUGGACUCGCGGCUUAUCAGCUUGUUGGUGGGGUAGUGGCUUACCAAGGCUUUGACGGGUAGCCGGCCUGAGAGGGUGACCGGCCACAUUGGGACUGAGAUACGGCCCAGACUCCUACGGGAGGCAGCAGUGGGGAAUAUUGCACAAUGGGCGGAAGCCUGAUGCAGCAACGCCGCGUGCGGGAUGACGGCCUUCGGGUUGUAAACCGCUUUCGCCUGUGACGAAGCGUGAGUGACGGUAAUGGGUAAGAAGCACCGGCUAACUACGUG